rnacentral:rRNA from 1 species
CCCGGCGUGGGGGAUAACGGGCCGAAAGGCUCGCUAAUCCCGCAUACGAUCACCCUUGCGGGUGAGGAAAGCUUCGGCGCGCUGGGCGGGGGCCGCGUCCCAUUAGGUUGUUGGUGUGGUAACGGCGCACCAAGCCGAUGAUGGGUUCCGGGUCUGAGAGGACGACCCGGCAGACUGGGACUGAGACACGGCCCAGACUCCUACGGGGGGCAGCAGCAAGGAAUUUUCGGCAAUGGGCGCAAGCCUGACCGAGCAACGCCGCGUGGAGGAUGACGGCUUUCGGGUUGUAAACUCCUUUUGGGUGGGACGAUAAUGACGGUACCACCCGAAUCAGACCCGGCUAACUACGUGCCAGCAGCCGCGGUAAUACGUAGGGGUCGAGCGUUGUCCGGACUUACUGGGCGUAAAGCGUGGGUAGGUGGUCGGUGAUGUGCCGUGUGAAAGCGCCGCGCUUCUCGCGGCGAGGUCGCGGUAGACACACCGACUGGAGGCACGGAGGGGGGCGUAGAAUUCCCGGUGUAGUGGUGAAAUGCGUAGAUAUCGGGAGGAAUACCAGUGGCGCAAGCGGCGCCCUGGCCGUGACCUGACACUGAGCCACG